rnacentral:rRNA from 1 species
GCGUCAGUCGCAAGAUGAAGCGUUGAAUUGAAGCCCGAGUAAACGGCGGCCGUAACUAUAACGGUCCUAAGGUAGCGAAAUUCCUUGUCGGUUAAAUACCGACCUGCAUGAAUGACGUAACGAGAUGGGAGCUGUCUCAACCAGAGAUUCAGUGAAAUUGUAGUGGAGGUGAAAAUUCCUCCUACCCGCGGCAAGACGGAAAGACCCCGCGGACCUUUACUACAACUUAGCACUG